CCUACGGGAGGCAGCAGUGGGGAAUCUUGCGCAAUGGGCGAAAGCCUGACGCAGCAACGCCGCGUGCGGGAAGAAGGCUUUCGGGCUGUAAACCGCUUUCAGCAGGAACGAAAAUGACGGUACCUGCAGAAGAAGGAGCGGCCAACUAUGUGCCAGCAGCCGCGGUGAUACAUAGGCUUCAAGCGUUGUCCGGAUUUAUUGGGCGUAAAGAGUUCGUAGGCGGUCAAGUAAGUCGGGUGUGAAAAUUCUGGGCUCAACCCAGAGACGCCACCCGAUACUGCUUAACUUGAGUUCGAUAGGGGAGUGGGGAAUUCCUAGUGUAGCGGUGAAAUGCGCAGAUAUUAGGAGGAACACCGGUGGCGAAGGCGCCACUCUGGAUCGAUACUGACGCUGAGGAACGAAAGCAUGGGUAGCAAACAGGAUUAGAUACCCUGGUAGUCCAUGCCGUAAACGGUGGGCACUAGGUGUGGGUUUCUAUUAACGAAAUCCGCGCCGUCGCUAACGCAUAGUAGCCCGCCGUCGGGAGGUACGGUCGCGAGACGUAAACCGUACGAAAGGAAGUUAGUAACGGUCGUGAGACGUGCCGACGGACGACGACGAGGGGAGGUUAGGG
rnacentral:rRNA from 1 species